rnacentral:rRNA from 1 species
CAGUAGCCACGGUAAUACGAAGGGUGCAAGCGUUACUCGGAAUUACUGGGCGUAAAGCGUGCGUAGGUGGUGGUUUAAGUCCGUUGUGAAAGCCCUGGGCUCAACCUGGGAAUUGCAGUGGAUACUGGGUCACUAGAGUGUGGUAGAGGAUAGUGGAAUUUCCGGUGUAGCAGUGAAAUGCGUAGAGAUCGGAAGGAACAUCUGUAGCGAAGGCGACUAUCUGGGCCAACACUGACACUGAGGCACGAAAGCGUGGGGAGCAAACAGGAUUAGAUACCCCUGUAGUCCCUGUCUCUUAUAC